UCGAGGAAGAUACUUAACCUCUCUGUAACUUGGUUGCCUCAUCUGUAAAACGGGGAUAAUACACAUCUACCUUACAGAGAAAGGAGCCAAUUCUUACAAAACGUCUAUAAUAGUAGCUGUCGCACAGUAAGUUUGGAGUAUUAGCUACUAUUAUUAUCAUGGAGCUCAGCCCGCGGUUACGAAUCAGUUUGUUGGGCUUUACAAAUGUGGCCAACACGCAGUAAACACGGAAGACACAGGAGAGAGAGGGAGGACCGGCUUUCUAAUUCUGACUGCCUCCUAUUCAAAGAAAACCUCGGCGGCAGUAAAGAAAUACCAUAGAUCCUAGAAACGCCGCCUGCACAAUACACUGAAAAGUUGUAAGAGGUACAGCGGAACCGGGCAAAACCCCACCAGGAACCCGACCUCCGAGUUAGCAAGAGUGGGGUGUGGAAGCGGGCCUUUCCCAGUGAGGGGCGGAAAUGGUCUGGACACGCUGUGGUGGGAAGAGCUGCCCGUCCUGGGAGGUGUACCGUGGGGACCAAUCGCUCUCGGGAUCCGCCUUCAGGGGGCGGGAGAAUCGGGACGUCCACCCACCUUAGGCCCGCCUCUGCGCUGUAGGCUACUCGGCCUUUAAAUUUCCGCUUGGGUCCGCGAGCGGCGGUCGGCUAGAGAAGGGAUACCUGGCACUUUGACUCCUGUGACGCGUUCUCUGACAUAAACUCCCUGAAGACAGUUUCUACUGAAUUAUUUGCCACCUUUCUGAUAAAACUUUCAUUGACUUUCAUUUAAACUGUUUUCUCUAGUAGUACCUCCCUCCAUGCCACCUCCACCUAAGAAACCUAUCCUUGAUCUGUAGACUUAUAUAGAGUGGUAAAGCAGGAAUGGGGCUUUUGAGAUAAUCUAGCAGGGACCCCUCAUUUUUAGGUAAAACGAAUAAAAACCCUUGAGACUCAAAAAGUGAGUGAAAGUGACAGUAUUGAGACCUUAGUAAGUACCAGGUACUGUGCAUAUCUUCUAUAUAUUCUUCAAAAACAUAGGGUGUAGGUACUUUCGUCCUCUUAAUGUAAAUAAAAAAACAGGCUAAGAGUGAUUAACCUGCUAAUGUGUGAUAGAGCUGGGAUUUCAUCCCAAGGAAUCUGACUUUAAAACUCAAUUAACUAAUUGAGUAAAAAGAAAUCCUAGAUAGUGCUAGGACUGUGAUUCCAAUUCAGGCUGAAUGCUUUUUUUUUUUUCUUUAAUCACACUACAGUUUCCAUUUUUUAAGUCUAAAGCUCUUUAUAUGUUUUGCAAGUUCAGUUAUCUAUACUGUAUAUGAAUAGCAUGUAAGUCUGCUUCACUACCUUGAGCUCAUUCCCCUAUUUUGGUUCUAUAAAAAAACACUCCUGUCUUAAGAGAAAUUUAUAUUUUGGGUUCCCUGUUAAGUUAGGGAAUGCUGACUUUACAGCUCUGACUGUGGCAGUAGAUUUUGCCAUGGCUUCUCUGGAAUUGGCAAUUAGGCAGGGGUUGGAAGAAGUCGAGAAAUAAAGCUGGAAAUCAUUGGAAUGACAAUUGCUGGCACUUCAGGGCUUACUCUAUUGCCUUCCCCUAAACUCGAGGCCUCCAGGUUUUAGGAGUGGCUUAGGCAAGCUCUAAACCUAUAAAUGAUCAUCUUAGACUCUCUGUACUAACUUCUGCUUACUGAUACCAUGAAACUGGAGUUGGUUAUCUUCCUAUUGCCAUUUUUCCUGCAUGUGCAACCCUUGACCCUGUGAGCAGUGCCAUAAUUUCUGGCAUCUCAUAAAAUUAUGCAGUAAUCUCAAAUCCUUAGCACUUAGAAUUUGUCUUAUUCACACUAGUCAUUGCCUUUUUUAUAAUUUGUCACUUUUUUUCCCCAAAGAUUUUAUUUUCAAUCUCUAUACCCAGCAUGGAGCUCAGACCUACAACUUCGAGAUCAAGUGUCACAUGCGUUACUGACUGAGCCAGCCAUACAUCCCAAUGUAUCAUCUUUUCUGUUUAUAGUUAAUCUCUCCAAGAGCAGCCCUCAGUCAUGAAGCAGUCCUCUAAUACCAUGUUUUAAUCCCUAGAAAUUGGCAUGAUAUAUGUAUUUUAUAUACUAAAUACAUAUGUAGUUGUUUUGAAUUAUAUAAUACCUGAAUUAAUGCUUACUAUAAAAAAUUAAAAUGAGAAGUAUAUAGAGUAAAUGAGACAAUCCUCUUUUUUUUUU